GACGAACGCUGGCGGCGUGCUUAACACAUGCAAGUCGAACGGACAGACAGAGAGCUUGCUCUCUUGAAGUUAGUGGCGAACGGGUGAGUAACGCGUAAUCAACCUGCCCUUCAGAGGGGGAUAACAACGGGAAACCGUUGCUAAUACCGCGUACGAUUCAUAGACGGCAUCGUUUGUGAAUGAAAGGUGGCCUCUAUGUAUAAGCUAUCGCUGAAGGAGGGGAUUGCGUCUGAUUAGCUAGUUGGAGGGGUAACGGCCCACCAAGGCAAUGAUCAGUAGCCGGUCUGAGAGGAUGAACGGCCACAUUGGGACUGAGACACGGCCCAAACUCCUACGGGAGGCAGCAGUGGGGAAUCUUCCGCAAUGGACGAAAGUCUGACGGGAGCAAACGCCCGCGUGAGUGAUGAAAGGGUUCUUUCGGGAUUGUAAAAGCUUCUGGU
rnacentral:rRNA from 1 species